GAUGAACGCUGGCGGCGUGCCUAAUACAUGCAAGUCGAGCGAAUGGAUUAAGAGCUUGCUCUUAUGAAGUUAGCGGCGGACGGGUGAGUAACACGUGGGUAACCUGCCCAUAAGACUGGGAUAACUCCGGGAAACCGGGGCUAAUACCGGAUAACAUUUUGAACCGCAUGGUUCGAAAUUGAAAGGCGGCUUCGGCUGUCACUUAUGGAUGGACCCGCGUCGCAUUAGCUAGUUGGUGAGGUAACGGCUCACCAAGGCAACGAUGCGUAGCCGACCUGGGAGGGUGAUCGGCCCCACGGGGACUGAGACACGGCCGAGAAUCCGACGGGAGGCAGCAGUAGGGAAACUUCCGCAAUGGACGAAAGGCUGACGAAGCAACGCCGCGUGAGUGAUGAAGGCUUUCGGGUCGUAAAACUCUGUUGUUAGGGAAGAACAAGUGCUAGUUGAAUAAGCUGGCACCUUGACGGUACCUAACCAGAAAGCCACGGCUAACUACGUGCCAGCAGCCGCCGUAA
rnacentral:rRNA from 1 species